rnacentral:rRNA from 1 species
UGGGGAAUCUUGCGCAAUGGUCUAACGACUGACGCAGCGACGCCGCGUGUGGGAGGACGCCUUUCGGGGUGUAAACCACUGUUGCCCGGGACGAACACCUCUUUUCGAAGAGGCUGACGGUACCGGGUGAGGAAGCACCGGCUAACUCCGUGCCAGCAGCCGCGGUAAUACGGAGGGUGCGAGCGUUGUCCGGAAUCAUUGGGCGUAAAGGGCGCGUAGGUGGCGACCCAAGUCCGUGGUGAAAGCUCGCCGCUUAACGGCGAGUCGGCCACGGAGACUGGGUGGCUCGAGCACUGUAGGGGCAGAUGGAAUUCCGGGUGUAGCGGUGGAAUGCGUAGAGAUCCGGAAGAACACCAGUGGCGAAGGCGGUCUGCUGGGCAGUUGCUGACACUGAGGCGCGACAGCGUGGGGAGCAAAC